rfam:Capsicum annuum cultivar Zunla-1 chromosome 12, whole genome shotgun sequence
ACCUCAUGAUUUGGGAAUUGGGAUCGCUUUCCAUUAAACCUCUCCCACGCUUCAAACCAUGGUUCUCUAUUAAAUUGCCAGAAGUUUAAAAUCUCAUCCUGCUUUU